GACGAACGCUGGCGGCGUGCUUAACACAUGCAAGUCGAACGAAGUGGCGAACGGGUGAGUAACGCGUAAUCAACCUGCCCUUCAGAGGGGGACAACAGUUGGAAACGACUGCUAAUACCGCAUACUGAAGGAGGGGAUUGCGUCGGAUUGGCUAGCUGGAUGGGUAACGGCCCACCAAGGCGAUGAUCAGUAGCCGGUCUGAGAGGAUGAACGGCCACAGUGGGACUGGGACAAGGGCCAGACUCCCACGGGAGGCAGCAGUGGGGGAUCUUCCGCAAUGGACGAAAGGCUGACGGAGGAACGGCGCGUGAGUGAUGACGGCCUUCGGGGUGUAAAGCUCUGUUAAUCGGGACGCGGUACCGGAAUAGAAAGCCACGGCUAACUACGUGCCAGCAGCCGCGGUAAUUC
rnacentral:rRNA from 1 species